rnacentral:lncRNA from 1 species
ACUGCACCUCGAUAUGAUCAUUCCUCCUUGUAUCUGAAAAAUCAAAUUUAUUUUUACUUUAGCCUAAGUUACUACUACUACUUUGUUUUUACACACACACUCUCUAUCUAGUCUAGGAGGGGAUAUUGCCAGUAAUGACAGUGUUUCAGUGGCAGUGCAAGAAAAAGGGGUUAGAGUUUUCAUUGGGAAGGUAAAAUUUUUGCACCCAAAAACAAGCGAACCCAUAAACACCUUCAUGUUUUUC